GGAUGAGUAUUUCUGUUGAGAGGGACAAAGGGUGCGCGGGAGCUGGGCAGUUUAAUCUCUUCAGUAGCGCAGGCGAGAACUCAGUGGCCGAGGGGCAGAACCUGAAAGGAUCCCAAGUUGGGGAAAGACUCGAAUAAUGAGAUCGUAAGAGAAGGGAAAGUUUCCCCUUCGCCCGUUCCUCCACCGACUCGAGCGGCGAAAAGAGACGGGGGCGUAAACUCCACAGAAAGCUUCGCAAGAGAAGCCACUUUAAAAGCGUAAACUGUCAAGACUUCCAACUCCUGGCCACUCUUGGAAGCAUCGCCCGUCCCUGUAAUUAUCUUGGCAACAAUAAGAAAGUGGUUUGCCAAGUUCUUAUUCUGAGAUAUUUUUCGAUGUGCCGAUCUAUUCUCCAACCUUGGACUUUCCGGUGACCUUAGCUGCUCAGAUCAAUGAUCCUGAUCCUGGACUUUGGAUAGUGAGUAUAGAUAUGGUUUCGUCCCUAACAUUAUGUCCUAACACUUUUACUGGGGUAGUACUUUUUUUUUAAUCCCGCCUUUAUUAAGGUGCUUAUCAGACCAGACCAGAGAUCAGCCAUGAUUGGUUAGAUGCUGCCACCUGCUGCAUCUAGAAUAAAUACAAAAUUGGGCCUAAAAGCAAUUAAUAAUGGCAUCUGGGGGCAGGAACUUAAAUGGCAAAAGAUGGUUUUUCAAUUAUUAUACUGAAAUUUCAAAUUAAAUGCAUGCCACUAGUAAGUAAAUAGAUUUUAUUUAUUAUCAAAGGCUGCCGUACACGAAUGAGCAAAAUAUCGUCCUGUUGUACACUUGCACAAUAAGAACUGUAAUUGCACUUUUGCUGCCAUUGCUGAACAAUUUUCAAAGCUAACCAUUCGUAAAGCAACCUAAUUUAGAGCUUCCUUAAGAGUUCACAGCUGGUAUACUGCAUCUGCUUCUAAUGGUGCAAAUACUAUGAAAUGAACUUGAAUUACUAAUAACAAAACUGAACAUGACAUCUAAAUUACAGUUCUCCUAUAUGCAGUCUACUUCUCCACAUGGACUGAUUGUUUCCCCAAGCAGACAAAACAUUCAUAAGAAAUAAUAAUUUCACCUGUGAUCAUCACAUUCAAUUGGGUAGGUCUGUUCGAUGGUGCGUGGUUUCUUUGGUGAAACUUUUUUUGUGAAACGUCAAUGGUUUAAAAGGCCUCUAAGCACAAUGGAGCUUUUUUCCUCUUCUAAGGUCUUUUUUCCUUAGACAAUAAAAUACAGCCUUCCAACUUUCCUAGCUCUCCUGGGGAUGCAAUUUUGGGACUUGUGUAUUUAUCUAGGCUUUGGGAUUGAACACUUUCCAUUUUCUUUUUUUCUAUCAUUAUUUAUUUAUAAAAUGCAUUUAAUAUAUCUCACUCUUAGGUUGUGUACUCUGUGCCAGCAAGUCUUGCACUGGUAAUAAGCCUUAAUCCAUCAGUCACAGGGUCUUGAAGAUUGAUCAAGACAAAUAAAUUCAAUGUGCAAAUUCCAUUGUGAUUUGUACAAAUAAUUCACCACAUUUUCCAGAUAACAUUGUGUGGAGGAGUAUAUCAGAUCUACAUUCAACUGCUUGUGUUGUGGGUUCUGCUGUGUUGGGAUAUUCCUUGUUGACUACUGCUCAAAGUAACAUCUUGCACGAGGAAGAAGGCAGGUAAAUAAUGAGAUCUUUUCUGCAUUAAUUCGUAUUUUCAUGAUCACCAUUGUUCUCAUUCUUAACACUUGUGAGAUCCUUAAGCUACCCUAGAUCUAAGGAAUUAGAAUGAUUUAAAGCUUUGAAAUUCCUAGAACAAAAUUUCUGAGACACAUGAUAUGUUUUGAUAUGCCAAGAGAAUUAAUAGAAAGAAAUCCUAGAAAACUUUAUCCUGCAAUCUGAGCCUUGUAAUAUUUGAUACAAAGCAUUGAACAUAGUCUGAUUUUUUUUAAUGGUGCACAUACAUAUUUUUUCAGGUUCAUCUGUAGUUGCUAUUUAAUCUACAAUAAUACAAUAGCAGAGUUGGAAGGGACCUUGGAGGUCUUCUAGUCCAACCCCCUGCCUAGGCAGGAAA